CAUGUGGUUUAAUUCGAUGGUACGCGAGAAACCUUACCAGGGCUUGACAUACACCGGAAGCGCCGUGAAAGCGGCGUGCCGCUUGCGGCCGGUGAACAGGUGCUGCAUGGCUGUCGUCAGCUCGUGCUGUGAAGUGUUGGGUUAAGUCCCGCAACGAGCGCAACCCCUGCCGUCUGUUGCCACCACGAAAGGUGGGGACUCAGGCGGGACCGCCGGUGACAAACCGGAGGAAGGUGGGGACGACGCCAAGUCAUCAUGGCCCUUAUGUCCUGGGCCACACACGUGCUACAAUGGCCGGUACAGAGCGCAGCGAGGCCGCGAGGCGGAGCGAAUCGCUUAAAGCCGGUCCCAGUACGGAUUGGAGUCUGCAACCCGACUCCAUGAAGUUGGAAUCGCUAGUAAUCGCGCAUCAGCAUGGCGCGGUGAAUACGUUCCCGGGCCUU
rnacentral:rRNA from 1 species